rnacentral:rRNA from 1 species
AUUGAACGCUGGCGGCAUGCUUUACACAUGCAAGUCGGACGGCAGCAUAGAAGAGCUUGCUCUUUUGAUGGCGAGUGGCGAACGGGUGAGUAAUGCAUCGGAACGUACCGAGUAGUGGGGGAUAACUGUCCGAAAGGAUGGCUAAUACCGCAUAUUCUCUGAGGAGGAAAGCAGGGGACCUUAGGGCCUUGCGCUAUUUGAGCGGCCGAUGUCUGAUUAGCUAGUUGGUGGGGUAAGAGCCCACCAAGGCGACGAUCAGUAGCCAGUCUGAGAGGACGGACGGCCACACUGGGACUGAGAUACGGCCCAAACUCCUACGGGAGGCAGCAGUGGGGAAUAUUGCACAAUGGGGGAAACCCUGAUGCAGCGACGCCGCGUGAGCGAAGAAGUAUUUCGGUAUGUAAAGCUCUAUCAGCAGGGAAGAAGAAAUGACGGUACCUGACUAAGAAGCCCCGGCUAACUACGUGCCAGCAGCCGCGGU